rnacentral:tRNA from 1 species
GCCGUCGUAGUCUAACCCGGUAAGGCGCCCGCCUCGAAAGCGGGAUCCGCAAGGAAUUGCAGGUUCAAAUCCUGCCGACGGCG